UACGUAGGGUGCGAGCGUUAAUCGGAAUUACUGGGCGUAAAGUGUGCGCAGGCGGCGUCGCAAGUCGAGUGUGAAAUCCCCGGGCUUAACUUGGGAAUUGCGCUCGAAACUACGAUGCUGGAGUGUGGCAGAGGGGGGUGGAAUUCCACGUGUAGCAGUGAAAUGCGUAGAUAUGUGGAGGAAUACCGAUGGCGAAGGCAGCCCCCUGGGAUAACACUGACGCUCAUGCACGAAAGCGUGGGGAGCGAACGGG
rnacentral:rRNA from 1 species